GGGGCCGUAGCUCAGAUGGGAGAGCGCUGCAAUCGCACUGCAGAGGUCAUGGGUUCGAUUCCCCUCGGCUCCA
rnacentral:tRNA from 1 species